CGUUUUGUGUAUUGUGAAAAUUCUGUUUCAGUUUUGUCUUUUUACAGCAGGUUUAUGAAAACAAACAACACAGUUUCAACGCUCAUACAAUGGAUAAAUCUAGUAAUUUGUUGAUGUCCGAUCCGCACAGUAACACAUCAGCUGACAUUCAUAUCUGUGGUACGUGCAAAGCUCAGUUCAGCGACGUCAUUGUUUUUCUCACACACAAAAAGGAGUGUUCUGAAACCUGCUUACUGCCACCACCAAUACCACAAACCAGAAGGCCACACAGUUUGAAUACUAACAAUGAUCCAGCUACGUCCAUGUAUGAAAACAAUGUCCGAAGUCUCGAGUCUUCUGUCUUGGACAGAGAUGAUGGUCAGGACAUGGAUGUUGCUCACACUGAAGCACUUCACAGAUCAGGUGAUGGGGUGAUGGUGUCGCUCAGUUUGUCAUCUGAUGGAGUCCGGGACAGUAGCACACAUCUUAUUCAGCCAACCAGCAAGGCAGUCAUUGUCAGUGACGGACAAAGGUUGUAUCAAGAGCAGAGGAUUGUUGAUUCACAAAGUUUACAUCACGGACAAGGGGUUGCUUCACCAAACCAAAGAUCACAUGUGGUUCUUGAACAGCAAAGGAUCCAACAUCGAUCUCCCAGGAUCACACAGGAUAGGUUUAGAGAAGGUUCUCAACAUCGAGUUGAGAGUCAGUUUCCUCGGCAAGUAGAAGCCCAUAUGGUUGAGAAAAAUAUCCAGAAUGUUACAUCGAAGCUUUCUCAAGAAGCAGUAAGUGGAAAUCUUCAACAGACAGGAGUUCUCGUUGCACAGCCAAACUUUCGCAUGACUACAUCGAGAUCCCGUGGCUUGAUUCCUGAUAGAGUAGAAAGCCUCGUCCAGCAGAAUGCCCACCAGGUGACAGACAAGUCUGUUGAGGAGACUCUGUCUGUGUCCGCUGGUGGACAAACCGUGGUGUUCACUGACGGGUCUCAGCUCUCUCAGAUUAUAACAUCAGAUGGACAGCCUGUUGUUCUGCAAGGUGGAACCCAGCUUCCUCACAUUGUCAGUUCUGAUGGGCAGACCAUCUUACUUAGAGAUGGAGCCAAAUUUACCCAGACGGCAUCUUCAGAUGGACAGUCUGUUCUCUUGCAAGACGGAACUCCGCUCUCUCAGAUUGUCACAUCAGAUGGACAAAGCAUCUUGUUAAGAGAUGGAGCCCAACUCACGCAGGUUCAAAAUGCAGGUAGACAAACUGUUCUACUGAAAGAUGGAACCCAGAUUUCUCAGGUUCAGACUUCAGAUUCAGGAUGGCACCAUCAGACAGUUCUUGACCAGAGUCAGCUGAGGGGGUCAGUUGAUGGCAUCAGUUCUUACGAUGAUGCUGAAAUGUUCACAGCACCAGAGACAAGUAUGAAUUUUGAAGCUCACACUUCCAGCAAUUCCAGAUCAGAAGCUUCUAAUUUCCAGACUAACACAAAUGUGAUGUUUCAUUCCCAGGAUCCUACAGCAGAACACCUGCAUAUGGACAGUCUUUCUGACACAUCCAUCUCCGAACAAUCUCUCAGGGAUGCUGUCAAUCUUCUUGCUAAAGGCAAAGGCCAAAGUGUUGCUCACCAGAAAGUAACUGAAAGUGGUUCUUCAAACUCUUCCUCUAGUAUCUUAACACACAAAUCUGGUGCCAGGGGAUCGAAGAGACUGAAGCUGGAUGAUCUAGGUAUGUCUGCCAUACUCCACGUGAGUCAGGACUCCUCUAUAUCAUCGUCUGGUGUUUUUGACUCAGCUUCAUCUACCAGCAUUCAUGAUGCUGCUGCCUCAGCAGGUAUUUAUGAUGCUUCAUCCUCGUUGACUUCUCUCCAGGAUCCUGUACCAUCUGGUGUUGUGUAUCACAUUCCUUCGUCAGCUGCUGGACAAGAGGGUGAAGUGUCUGCUGCUGCUGAUGGUGUUGCUGCUUCUGCUACAGGGAUUCAUGGUGCCAGCUUCCAGCAGGUGGCAGUAAACGAAGGAAUUGCACAUAUUCAGAACUCACAACAGACACAGCAGAUAGGAGUGUCUAAAACAGGACUAGACUAUGUAGUCACAGUGCACGAUCCCGACUCGCCCAGCAAGAAACGGUUCAAGUGUUCCGUGGCCGACUGCCACUUCACGACGACCUACAUUCGUGACCUUGACCGACACAACCGAGUGCACACCGGCGAGCGUCCGUACAUCUGUCCGCUGUGUCCCAAGUCGUUCAGUCGGUCGGACAAACUCAACAUUCAUCUGAGGGGACACACGGGUGCAAAACCAUUCAAGUGCAAUUUCUGUGACUAUGGCGCGGCAGAUAGCAGUAGUUUGAAGAAACACAUCAGAAUCCACACAGAUGAAAGACCUUUUAGGUGUCAGAUCUGCCCGUACGCGAGUCGCAACUCCAGUCAGCUGAUCGUGCACCUUCGCACCCACACCGGGGACAGUCCAUUUCAGUGCAGUGUUUGUGACGCCAAGUUUAAAAUCAACUCCGACCUCAAGCGCCACAUGAGGAUUCACACGGGAGAAAAACCAUAUGGCUGUGAUUUGUGUGACUACAGGUGUUCUGUCAGAGGCAACCUCAAGUGUCACUACCGCAUCAACCACUCGAGUGAGAACCAGAUGUCGUGUCCCGAACCCAACUGUAAGUUCACCUCGUCCUCGAGGAAGACCCUAUGGGAGCACAAGAAGACGCACGACCUGUUGCGGCCAAUCAAAUGCGAGGUGUGCAGCUACGCGUGUGCCAGCAACAGUGCGCUGAAGAUGCACAUGCGAGUUCACAGCGCGGACAGACCCUACAACUGUGGCAUCUGCAGCUACUCGUCCAAACAGAGCGGGAACGUCAAGACGCACAUCCGGAAGAGGCACCCGGAAACGUUGCAGAUCCGGUCGGGCAGAAGUGGUAAGAAGAAAGGGAGGGUCCAAUGGAGCGCCUCGGAGGAGGACCCCGGGAUACCAAAGCUGCGACAGAACUGCCGCAAGGCGUACAAGUGUAACAUCUGUUCCGCGUCGUUCGUCAGGGAGGACUCGUUGAGGAGUCACAUGCGACAGCACUGCCGCGAGAUUGAGCAGAAUCUUGAGAGUACUGCCCUGGCCGUGUUGGAGCAGCAGCAGAGUAGCGCAGGGCAGCAGCAGCAGCAGGGGGUGUCAGUGAUCCCUCAACACGACCAGCUGACAUCCGUGUGUUGUUCUACCUCCCAGCAGAUCCCAGCCGCUCUCGAUACGACUAACAGUAUUAACCAGAAUGUGAAAAUUACUCAUUCAGAUCCUUACAUGUUCCUCUCGCAGCCGCACAAGACUGGAGAGAAGACGAUUAAGUUGGUGUCGACAUCACUUCCUAUCCACUCCGAUGAAUCUCUCUCUCAGCAAGUUGUGCUUGGUUCACAGUCUACAGCGACGCUGGAAAAGGAAAGUGGACUGACGAUGUAUCAGGUUUCUCAGAGUGGGAGCCAGUCAUCCGAUGAUCGGUUGAUUCCUGUUUCCAUGCUUGAGACACAUCUGCCUGGUGGUUCGCGGAACACAUCACGUGACACCGUAGUAACAAGUUCCAUGCCGACGACGACCACGGUGAUGUCACGUUCGAUAGUGAGCGAUGGACAGCCUCUUUCCACAUCUGAUAUACAGCAGAAUCAUCCAAUGUUAACUGCAGUGAUGCAGCAAGGUGUUGAAGUGGCCGUCAACUUCCCCCAGAUGAGAAUUCCCCAACACAUGACGUACCAGACGGAACCGACCACCAGCCAGGUCCUGGAGCCCGUGUUCCUGACUCCGAACAAACACCAGCCCGGCAUCGCGUCCAACCAGUCACCCCAGGACCACCUCUCCAGUCUCGCACACGCUGCCGCACAGAUCCAAAUCCCUGUCUCAUCCCAAAUCCAAAUCCCUGUCUCGUCCCAGAUCCAAAUCCCUGUCUCAUCCCAAAUCCAAGUCCCUGUCUCAUCCCAGAUCCAAAUCCCUGUCUCGUCCCAGAUCCAUAUCCCCACCUCAUCCCAGAUCCACAUGCCCAUGUCGUCCCAGCAGACCGUCAUGAAGAAACCCAUCCGGAUAAUCACCCAGACCCAGCCGGACACGACGAACAACAAACUGGUGUUUGUGGAGGACCACCGGAGUCCUGUCACGGAUUACCGAGUGGGUGUGGCAGCGGGGGCGGAGUCCGACGUGGUCACGCAUCAGUUGGUGCAGACGUCGCAGGGCUUCCAGAUCAUCCAGAACAUCCCGCUACACAGUCUGCGGUUGGUGGGGAAGACGAAGGGGGGUCAGGGGGUGGUGAGCGAGCAGGGAGGGGGGUCGGAGAAGGGGUUGUCACAGAUGGUGAUGUCAUCAUCGUCGUCGUCGUCACUGCAGUCGGUGGAACAGCAACUGAUGCAGCCGCAGUUAGUGCAGCAAGUUCAUACUGGACACACAGAUGUAGGACACAUUGAGACAGUUAACAUACAGGUCAUCAAACCUUCCACCACCCAGACAUCUUACCCCAUCAACAUCAUCACUCAGGAGGUGAUGGAACAAACGUCUGUAUCCCAGAAUGCCCCAGCGAUGGCCCAGUUCCAGAUCGUCCUUCCGUCUGGAGUCCAGUCCCCGCAGAUCGUGAGGAAUGCAGUGAGCGGUCAGCAUCAGAUCAUAGUGCAGGUGGAGGAAGUGGGGGGGUCCAGGGUGGAGGACUCCUCCCUGUCCAUCACACCGGGGGGAAUCAUCACACUUCCUAUAUCGAUGGCUCAGACCCUUCUGGCUCAAGUACAUCCACAAGAUUCGAGUGUCGUGGGUCAAAGUCCGAUCUCAGUGAUUCAAGAUGGAGUUCAACUUCAAGAAGUCAUUGUAGCAGUAGACAGGUCUUCACUGAUUGGUUCAGCAGUCUCCAGGGGGACGGAAGAGUGUCAAUCCGAGGCCAAGUAGAGUUGUUGCCCCUGACAGAGACAAAAGAUUCAUAAAGAGCAAACACCAAAGGCCGUCUCGCAAGAUCGGCUACCUCAAGAUGUGAUAUGUUAAAAAGCAGAAUCCUCUGUCUUCCGGUUUAACACAAGAUGGAGAUCUCAAAGAUGUGUUGUUUGAAGAUGAAGCUCCUGCCGUAACGAGUGCCUUUCACAUUCCAGAUUGGCUUUCUUAGUAGAUCAGGAAGGAAGGAAAUGUUUUAUUUGACGGCACAAUCAACACAUUUUAUUUACGGUUAUGUGGCGUCGGACAUAUGGUUAAGGACCACUCAGAUGCUGUCGCCACUUCAUGUG
rnacentral:misc_RNA from 1 species